UUGACUCUAAAACCGUCUUGGAAUAAGGGGUGGUUAAGGACGGUGCCAGCCGCCGCGGUAAUACCGGCGCCUCAAGUGGUCGUCGCUUUUAUUGGGCCUAAAACGUCCGUAGCCGGUUUGGUACAUUCGUGGGUAAAUCAGCUCGCUCAACGAGCUGAAUUCUGCGAGCACGGCCAGACUAGGGACCGGGAGAGGUGUGGGGAACUCUCAGGGUAGGGGUAAAAUCCUGUCAUCCUGAGAGGACCACCUGUUGCGAAGGCGCCACACUAGAACGGAUCCGACGGUCAGGGACGAAGCCUAGGGGCACGAACCGGAUUAGAUACCCGGGUAGCCCUAGGUGUAAACGCUGUGGACUUGGUGUUGGGUGCGCUCCGAGCGCUUCCAGUGCCGUAGCGAAGGUGUUGAGUCCACUGCCUGGGGAGUACGGUCGCAAGGCUGAAACUUAAAGGAAUUGGCGGGGGAGCACUGCAACCGGAGGAUUGUGCGGUUUAAUUGGAGUCAACGCCGGAAAUC
rnacentral:rRNA from 1 species